AGCUAGCAUGGCGUAGUGGUUCAAGUGUUGGACUACAACUCUGGAGACCAAGGUUCAAUUCCAUGCUUGGCCA